rnacentral:rRNA from 1 species
CGGAGUGGCAGACGGGUGAGUAACACGUGGGAACAUACCCUUCGGUUCGGGAUAACUCAGGGAAACUUGAGCUAAUACCGGAUACGUCCGCGAGGAGAAAGAUUCAUCGCCGGAGGAUUGGCCCGCGUCUGAUUAGCUUGUUGGUGAGGUAAUGGCUCACCAAGGCGACGAUCAGUAGCUGGUCUGAGAGGGUGAUCGGCCACACUGGAACUGAGACACGGUCCAG